GCUUGCUUCCUUCCUUCCCUUUCCCCCCACCCCUUCUUCUUCUUUCCUGCCUUCUCCCUCUCUCUCUCUCUCUCUCUCUCUCUGAAUCUUUUUUGAGUCUCUUUCUCUCUCCUCUGCCUCGUCUUCUUUUUAUUUUUCCCCCUUGUGAUGGUUUUUGCAAGUUUGUUUUAAAAAGUUCACAGGCAGGCGUUCUUCCCCCCCCCCCCCCACUCCCCGGUAGACGCAGAGACCGUGAUCUCACCCCGAUGGUAAGAUCAAAAAGUCUCCGCUCGCCCCCAGUCUGCGGGCUUGGGCUGGGGCCAGACGCCUCCCUGCAUGCAGAUGUGCCGCCGCCGGCCUCCCCGGUUAUAAAGCCGCUUCCAGCGCUUUCUGGCGCAGGAGCGCUCGGAGUUGCGGGUUGCGGAACCGGGAGGUGUUGGGGAGCCGGGCUGCGGCUGGGAUCUCGAACUGGGCGCGUGUGGGGUGCUGUGCUCGGGAGCGGGGACGCGCCGUGCCAUUCGCCGCAGAGGCCGGAGUGACUGCCCUUCCAAGGCCGGCGAGAAGCGGCCACGGGGCGUGAAACGCUUCUUGCGAACGAGGAAACGAAAGGGAAGAUGAGACCUGGACCAUUGGAGAAUGGCUGCAGGAUCUCAUGGCUGUCAGAAGAGAGAACUCAGGUUUGAACCAGCUCCUGCCCUCCACACUGCAAAGCUGGAGGAGCCUACAUACAGAACUCAGAGCCUGAGAGUGUGCUUGGUACUCUCAGGGCCCAGGCACUGCAUUUCUUCUCUUUCCCUCUCUCUCUCUGAAAGAAGUAAGAGGAAGAAUUGAUGAGAGAUGGUGUUUGCAGAGGUGAAGGAAAAGGUGCAUAAGAGGAGGGCCUUUCACAGGACUGGAAAGAUAGCUCAUCAGGUAGGAAGCCUGUCUUGUUAUAUCUGCAAACCAAAUGUGAGUCCCAGUAACCACAUGGCAGGUGCUAUGGAACCAGAAGAAGCUCCAUUAUUGUGUCUUUUCCUCUUUCUGUUUCUGUCAAUUUGAGUGAAAUUGUGGCUCAGACCAAUGGGUGAGUUUACAACUCUAUCCAAGCUAAGAAGAAAAGAAAAAGAAAGGAAAAAAGAAAGAAAGGAAGGAAGGAAGAAAGAGAGAGAGAAAGAAAGACAGGAAGAAAGAAAGAAAAAGAAAGAAAGAAAGAAAGAAAGAAAGAAAGAAAGAAAGAAAGAAAGAAAGAAAGAAAGAAAGAAGCGCAGGUGGCGCAAAGCACAAGGACGGGCAUAAGGAUCCCGGUUCGAACCCCGGCUCCCCACCUGCAGGGGAGUCGCUUCACAGGCGGUGAAGCAGGUCUGCAGGUGUCUAUCUUUCUCUCCUCCUCUCUGUCUUCCCCUUCCUCUCUCCAUUUCUCUCUGUCCUAUCCAACAACGACAACAACAAUAAUAACUACAACAAUAAAACAACAAGGGCAACAAAAGGGAAUAAAUAAAAUAAAUUAAAAAAAAAAAAAAAAGAAAGAAAGAAAGAAAGAAAGAAAGAAAGAAAGAAAGAAAGAAAGGGAAAGAGGGGUUGGGCGGUAGUGCAGUGGGUUAAGCACACGUGGUACAAAGCGCAGGGACCAGCUAAGGAUCCUGGUUCAAGCCCCCAGCUCCCCACCUGCAGGGGAGUCACUUCACAGGUGGUGAAGCAGGUCUGCAGGUGUCUGUCUUUUUCUCCCCCUCUCUCUGUCUUCCCCUCCUCUCUCCAAUUCUCUCUGUCCUAUCCAACAAUAAACGACAUCAUCAAUAAUAAUCACAACAAGGCUACAACAACAAGGGAAACAAAAGGGGAAAAAAUGGCCUCCAGGACCAGUGGAUUCAUGGUGCAGACACUGAGCCCCAGCAAUAACCUGGAGGCAAAAAAAGAAGAAAGAAAGAAAGAGAGAGAGAGAGAAAGAAAGAACAAGAAAGAGAGAAAGAGAAUUGAAGGAUUAUCAUAACAAGGGAUUAAAGACCAUGGGAUAACAAUUGGCUUCUAAAAGCCAUAAGGACUUAAGGGACUCAAGAAUUCAGAGCUGUGACUUGCAGAAGACCACAGGGUGGUGACCAGGGGUGACAUGCUCAAACCUGCUCUUUCUUCUCCAGUUAUCUGACUAGGGCUUCAGUUUGGAUAAACCCCACCAGAAACUUGUUGCAAAGGUUGCAUGGAGACUGCCAUUCAGGUCAGAGCCUUAGGACACAGCAGCAGGGAGCUGCCAGGGCUGGGAGGCACAAUCUAGCCCAGGUGCAGUAUAUUGCUACAGUGUAUUGCUCUGUGCUGGUGGGCAGAGGAACUCUAACCAGCCACUGUCCUCAAGGACCUUAGAGUUUAUGGAAGAGUCUUAGGUCAAGUAAGAUGCCCUAGUCUUUGGGACUCAGAGAUCCACUAGGUACAAAAUUAUACAGGUGGGCUGGAAAAAAGGAAGUCUGGGUUUGCACUGCAUAGUUGCCACUUGAAAGGGGGUGGCUCGAUGUGUCUUUCCACCUGAAGCCAUCUACAACACUCAGCACACUCGUGGGAUAGGCUCUUUUGCCUUGAGUCAGGAUAUGUAUAAGCUUCUGCUAUCAAAACCUUUGCAAAAAAUAGUUAGGGCCAGGCAGGGGCACAUCUAAUUGAGUGUGCAUGUUAUACUGUGCAAGGACCCAGGUUCAAGCCCCUGGUCUCCACCUACCAGGGGGAAGCUUCACAAGUGGCAAAGCAGGGCUGCAAGUGUCUCUCUCUACUUCCUCCUGCCCUCUCAAUUUCUCUAUCUCUACCAAUAAAUAAAAAGUAGAUAUUUAAAAGUUGUUUAUAAAUAAAUAAAUAAGUAACAUUUAAUAAAAAUGAAGGAAUAAUAAUCAUUAUAGCUGGUUGUGGCUGGUUGAACUCACAGUAGCUUUCAUUGUGUGUUACAGUGCUAUUGUACAGGCAGUCUUGACCUUUCGCUUGUUUAUUUAACAUCCUCAGGGUGUCUUGCCAUGUUCUAAUAAAAAAUCUUUAUCAAACA